rfam:Pelobacter sp. SFB93, complete genome.
ACAUAAAGUCCACUCCGAUUCAAGGCCGGCUAAGGCCAUAGCUAAGCCACCUUGAACGAUGGGUGCCCCCGGAAACGGUGGCGCCUCCCGUAUUUGGAAAGGAGUCGACCUGCGAACGCG